CCUACGGGCGGCUGCAGUGGGGAAUAUUGGACAAUGGGGGCAACCCUGAUCCAGCCAUGCCGCGUGUGUGAAGAAGGCCCUCGGGUUGUAAAGCACUUUCAGUGAGGAAGAACGCCUGGUGGUUAAUACCCAUCAGGAAAGACAUCACUCACAGAAGAAGCACCGGCUAACUCCGUGCCAGCAGCCGCGGUAAUACGGAGGGUGCGAGCGGUAAUCGGAAUUACUGGGCGUAAAGCGCGCGUAGGUGGCUUGAUAAGCCGGUUGUGAAAGCCCCGGGCUCAACCUGGGAACGGCAUCCGGAACUGUCAAGCUAGAGUGCAGGAGAGGAAGGUAGAAUUCCCGGUGUAGCGGUGAAAUGCGUAGAGAUCGGGAGGAAUACCAGUGGCGAAGGCGGCCUUCUGGACUGACACUGACACUGAGGUGCGAAAGCGUGGGUAGCAAACAGGAUUAGCUACCCCAGUAGUC
rnacentral:rRNA from 1 species